GAUGAACGCUAGCGGCAGGCCUAACACAUGCAAGUCGAGGGGCAGCACAGAAACAGCAAUGUUUUGGUGGCGACCGGCGGACGGGUGCGUAACGCGUAUGCAACCUACCUUUAACAGGGGGAUAACGGAGAGAAAUUUCCACUAAUACCCCAUAACAUCGAUCAAGGCAUCUUGAUUGGUUGAAAACUCCGGUGGUUAAAGAUGGGCAUGCGUUGUAUUAGGUAGUUGGUGAGGUAAUGGCUCACCAAGCCUACGAUACAUAGGGGGACUGAGAGGUUAGCCCCCCACACUGGUACUGAGACACGGACCAGACUCCUACGGGAGCAGCAGUGAGGAAUAUUGGUCAAUGGGGGCAACCCUGAACCAGCCAUGCCGCGUGCAGGAAGACGGCUCUAUGAGUUGUAAACUGCUUUAAACAGGGAUAAAGCACAGUAUGUAUACUGUGUUGAAGGUACUGUAAGAAUAAGGAUCGGCUAACUCCGUGCCAGCCGCCGCGGUAA
rnacentral:rRNA from 1 species